rnacentral:rRNA from 1 species
CCAAUAGCGUAUAUUAAAGUUGUUGCAGUCAAAAAGCUCGUAGUUGAAUUUCGGGACUAACAGAUUGGUCGCGCCUUUGGUGUGUACUGGUCUAGUUGGUUUCUCCCUUCUGACGAACCACGAUGUCAUUAAUUUGGUGUCGUGGGAAAUCAGGACUGUUACUUUGAAAAAAUUAGAGUGUUUAAAGCAAGCGUUAGCUU